rnacentral:rRNA from 1 species
GAUGAACGCUAGCGGGAGGCUUAACACAUGCAAGUCGAGGGGCAUCACGAGGUAGCAAUACUUUGGUGGCGACCGGCGCACGGGUGAGUAACACGUAUGCAACCUUCCCUGUACAGGGGGAUAACCCGGAGAAAUUCGGACUAAUAUCCCGUAAUAAUAUCCGGAGGCAUCUUUGGAUAUUUAAAGUUCCGACGGUACGGGAUGGGCAUGCGUAACAUUAGCUGGUUGGUAAGGUAACGGCUUACCAAGGCUAUGAUGUUUAGGGGUCCUGAGAGGGUGGUCCCCCACACUGGUACUGAGACACGGACCAGACUCCUACGGGAGGCAGCAGUGAGGAAUAUUGGUCAAUGGGCGCAAGCCUGAACCAGCCAUCCCGCGUGCAGGAAGACGGCCCUAUGGGUUGUAAACUGCUUUUCCAGGGAGAGAAACUUACGCACGUGUUGCGUGACUGACGGUACCCUGGGAAUAAGCAUCGGCUAACUCCGUG